UGCUCUUGGCAGAAGCAGCUGCGUUUGUUCCCAAACUGCUUUCUGAAACUCCCAGUUACUUUCUGGAUGCAUUUCUAAUUUCAGGCGGUAGCUGUGUUUCUGCUGCCAAUGCCCAUGUCACGAAUAACAAACAUGCAAUUUCCUCCCCUGUAGAAUUAUUCCACUCUGCUUAUCUGGAGGUUCAGUUCUGUUGUCUCCAUUUUAAUCACAUUUUCCAACAACACAUUACUUUGUGCAACAGACCAUUUUCCUUUGCGAAAGAUCAAAAUCAUUGCAUAUUCCAUUUCAUUUCUUGACCUAAAACUGACAGUUUUUGCAUUGCGCUGCUAAUUUAAUUUAAAGAAAAAGUACGUGGCAAAAUGUAUCAAUUGAUAUCUGAAACAUAUUACACCUCAGCUGCAUGCAUGAACACCGUAGGCGUUUAAAACAAUCAUAUGGAAAAUCAUAGCAUGAAAAACCUGUUUCAGAGCUUUAAAACCUUCUUGCCAUCGGUAAUAAUUAUAAAAGCCUCCUAAAGCAAGUACUUUUAGUAAUCUCUAUAGCGCAUAGUUAGAGUACGGUUAUACUACAGCACAGUUUCAGUUACACUUAAAAGAAGCCACAAUAGGUCACAGCUCUCCAAACACGACUCCAGCACGUUUUUGUACUGAAAAAUGCAGACAUGCAUGCACUCCGUAUUUCUUCCUAUGCACUCUCAGAUGACAGAAGGGAACACAGCGCAGGGAAUGUAAACAGUAUAAAGCAUGCAUCUUGCACACACGGACACAAAUGUAGUAACAACUGCCUUGACAGUGCCCAGAUGUUGCAAGGAGCAGUGGGGACAGCCAGGAAGCCCAUUCUCAUUGUGCUAAUGAGGGUAAUGAGAGCUGAGAAGUUAAAAGCCCUUGCAAAGCUGUGAAACUCCAACCCUAUUUAUUCCUUAUCAUUUCACUGAUACAUUUUACAUCCUAGCGGCAAAACGUUUCAUGUCAGUGACUAGCCGUGUCAGGAAAAGGCCUACCUCGUGUAUGGAGCCGGUCCCAGAUCCAGCAGCGCUUCCUCCCUUGGCUCAGAUAUCCAACCAGGCAUGUGCUGCAGAUGCUGGGUGCAAGGCACGUGCUGCGUCCCAACACGUGGCACUAUGGACUGCUCACCCAAACCAGUUCCUGAUGCACAUAGUGGAACCAAGCACCAGAAAAGUCUGGUCCGGCCAUACAUGUCAGAUACAAUCUAAACAACCAGCAACAUAGGGAGAGGUGGGUAAAGCAAACAGGAGAGAGUAGAUGGCCAUUCCUUGCUCCCUUUCAAUUUCCACAUUUUUAAGAACUCAAAAGAACUGGCAUUGUUCCAUCUGUGGCAAUGGCACAGGUACUUACAAGUCUUUGUCCCUGUGCAGCUGCUGUGCUCUGUAUCACUAACCCAAAAUGAUUAGGCUCUGCAUAAAUAGUUGAAAAACAGGCAAACAUUAACUUAAAGUUUUAAUUAACUAAAAUGUUUUUGUAAUUAUUGCAUUAUUUAAAAAAGGAAUGCCAUGAUCACUCAGCAAGGAUUUCAUUCUUUUUUAUAUUAGGCUAUUAUUAUUCAAUUAUUUAUUAUAAUAAACAAUUGUAAUGUUAGAAAUCCAUUAGAAGCCGGAGAUAUUUUUUCUUCAGACAGGUUCAGUAUCUAAAUACUUGAAAUAUAAAAGCUGGAGUUGAAAUCUGGAAAGGGGAAUUGGAAUCAAAGACCUUUAAACAUCCCUUCAAACUCCAGUGAUCCUACGAUUCCAGAAGAGAUGGCUGUAUUUAUACUCUAACAAUACUGCAGCUACUGAAAAUAAGCUGUGAAGAGCAAGCACACUUUCAGUUCAUAGAUAGCCCAUUUCAACAUUAAUUCACUGAAAUCAACUACAAUUAAAAUUAGAAUAAUGAAACAGCUCAAGUGCAGUGCAAACUGGCCGUAGUUAUGCAGAGACCGGCACACAGCAGCGAAUGCAACAGCCCGAGAGCUCUGGCUCAUGACCAGGUGCAGGCGUGACAGCGCCGGGAGCUGGAUGGGUGUUACACAGCCCGUGGGCUGCAGCCCACUGUUUGCUGUCGGACGCCAGAACCUGCUCUAUGCACGAGCUCAUUUAGAAGAUACAAACCACAUGUCUGCUCCAUUUGGCAGAGAAGCACCAGUGCUGGCAGACGGAGCCGGGAGCCGCUCUCUGGAUGCUGCCAGUGAGCGCCUGCAGGUGCAGACGGCUCCUUGUUGUGCGUGGGAAAUGGUCCAGCCACGGCUUUUCCAAGAAGGCCCCAUUAGAGAAGGCUGAGAAGCGCUGAUGCAGACAGCCUGCGGGGAGCCAGCCUGCCUUCCACCAGGAUACGCUCACCACGAUGUUAAAUCUGGCUCCCCUUGAGCUCACCGGGGCUGAUUUUAAAGAAAAUAGUUCUAGGUGCCAUUCAGAUUCAACAUGACCAACUCUCGAACAUUUAAUCAAAUGUAUUAACUGCUACAAAUGAUUACAGUGAAAAGUAAAGACAUUCUUUGAUUUCUACACAGACUUUUGACAUGACAUUGCUCAAGUUGCCGGUGAGGACUUGGCUAUCCAGCAUGCACUACAGAAUCCAAGCUUUGAAAUAGUUUUCUGCAGCUCUCUGUUUUCCAUACUUUUCCUUACUGAAUCCCCCCACAAAGACCACAGGCAGUCACUGACACACUUGAAACCUCUGUCCUGCCAAAGAGUCCCCACCGCAGCCUCAUCCCAUGGCUCCAGGAGCUCCAGGCUCUGCUGCCCAAGGGAAGCGCUCAGCCCCAAUGGAAGCUGCGAUGGAGCACAGGCAUCUGAAACACUGCAGGAGAGAGUAGCUGCAGCCUUUCAUGUUAGGGAAUUGGGUCAAAAAUCUUCCAGAAAAUCUAUUUCAAUAAUGAAAGCUGACUUUUCUCCUCCUUUUUUUUUUUUUUUUCUUUCCCUGAUUAUGGGAAAAGGUGGAUUAUAUAUUUAAUCUGACCAAUAAAAGCACAGAAAAGGGUACGUUUUUCUUAUCAAAAAUAAUUCCCUUUUUUAAUCAUCAUUUCCCACAGAAAAUGAAUGCUCAGUAUUCUGCCAGAUUAACAUAGCUGAAAUACAGCUGGUCCUGACAAUGGUAUGGACUUUUGGCUGUGGCAAUUAGCCAUGUUUUCCUCUACUAAUCAAAAAAAAAAAAAGAAGAAAGAAAGGAAAAGGAAAAUGCCAUUUGGUGGAACCUGGAGUGACUUUUGUUCUUUUCUGAACAAUAAAUAAAUAAGCAAAUAAUUUGAGCUGCACUAGAACGUAUUUCUUGGCCUAAAACAAAAUACUUCGUUUCUUCUUUGCUGUCAUUAUUGCUGCAUAAAAACGAUAAGAAGAACAUGAAAAUGAAAAAAAGCACUUUCAAAGAAAGAAUUAGGAUUUAAUUCUACAAAUGUCAAAAUAUUUUUUUGAUGGUUUACCCAGUACUAUUUGCACCACUCCAUUCAGCUCUGUCAAUAAUUUCAGUUCAUUCGAAACAGCAUUUUUUAGCGAACAAACUGUUCAGAAAAAGGAAGAGUAAGAGAAACUGUCUGAUUAGGUGGAGAAAGAGAGGGAUGGGAGCUGCCUUAUUCUGCAGGCUCCAGAAGCCCGUCUCCACACCUGCAAAAGCUUGGAAAUUUCAUCAAGAAAACCUGCGGUGCUUCCUCUGUCCCUCUUCUUCCAUACUAUAAAACAAACUUUUGGAUGCCCAGAUAAGCUCAGAGCACGCAAAGGAAGAAAUAAACCUGCAAAAGAGUAAAGGAUUAAUGUGAAAGAAAGCAAGGUGUAGCCAGCUAAACCCUCCGGCUGCAGUCAAACACUGCAUUUUCAAAAUCAGUGGCAUUUGAUGGAGAGAAAAAAAAAUACUUACAUCAACUAGCUCAUGCCAUCUCCCUGUUUAAACGGUUGUUAAAAUACACAUUUAAAAUAAAAAUGAAUAUACAUAAGUCAUAAUGCAAGGAAAAUAUGGAUGCACAUAACGAUAACAUCACCCCUUCUUUCUGUACUGCCAUUGGAUUCAGAAUAAAGUCAUAACAACACUGCAAUGACCAUAGCAAAAUUCCUGCCCAGUGAAGAGAAGCGUUAGAAAAUGUGCAGCUUCCCUGACAAACGUUAUUUAAAAGUCAUUCUAAAUUUCUCAUAACUUCAGCAUAAAUAUGACUCAAAAUGACUUAAAGGACUUGAUCUUGAUUCCGCUGCUGUUUACAAAAUGUAAAUCCAUCGGAGCUGUCAGAAUUAUGCUCGUUUAAAGCUGGAGGAAUUGAGGAAGAAUUUGGCUUUUUGAUUCAAUCUUUAAUGUGCAGUUCACCCCUCGCAUAUACAAGGCACACUGACUCGCAGGCAGAAGAUAAACAUGUAAUAAAUCAGCUUACUUUUUUUUCAGCUCUUACUCACAGUGGAAUCCCCAAAAUUCAUUUUAUUUUAUCUUUUUCCCACUCUUCAGCUUUUUCUCUUUCAUUUUCCUUCCUCCUCUUCAAUCACCAAAGGUUUGCUUGUCUCAUUUUCUAUUUUACAUCACUCCGCUUUGUUCUCUACAAUGGAAAGACAGACAAGCAGAAAGAAAGGCGGACAGACAGACAGAUAGCACAGAGAGAUCCAGCCAGUCCGAGGCAAUAACUCCGGACACCCACAUUCUGGAGGAGCCGUUGCUCUCUCAAAAACUUUUUAUCUUUAUAAAGGGAAGGGAAUCAAGACUCAUUUGCAUAAGGGUUCAUUCCAUCUCUUCAGCUCACAUGUUUAUAGCUCUGGAAAGUCCCUUUCUGAUUCCCUGCUUGAUAAGGAGCCAGGAAGGUAAGCAGCAGCAGGGAGAGGUGAGAACUGUUUUGCUGACCUUGCAAGCAGGGCUUAAGUGCAGUACUCCAUUCUCCACGCUCGGAGGACCCAGCUGAAAGAUUUGGGUGCUCUUUAUCCCUUGGACUUCAAGACUCGGACUGUGCUUGUAGAGCUAAAGAUUCAAGUUGGAGAAACCCCCACUCUUGCACAGGAGGAAGCUCUGGUCAGGCGCUCAAUACUUCAGCUUCCUGUCUGUACACUCCGCGGUCUAAUCUGGGGAAAUCCUGAAAACAUUAUCAGAUGCCUGAUAAGCUCCUUAGCUUUCAAGUACAUAGUGAUUCAGUUUCGGUCAAAACCUCAUUUGAAUACCGUUUUAAAAUCUAAAUAAAAAGUGAGACCCUAACAGAGAAGAGAUUAGACUUGUAGUCUAACAUCACUGGUAUCCAAAAUAACGCGAGUGGCAUUAAAAACUGGCAUAAACAAACCUACUCUUCCAUACCUGCAUCAAG
ensembl:lncRNA